rnacentral:tRNA from 1 species
GUUCUUAUGGUUGAAUUACAACGGUGGUUUUUCAGAUCACAGGUCUUGUGUGUAGCAAGUAGG